rnacentral:misc_RNA from 1 species
AUUUGUACCCUCAAGCUCUGCUUGGUGUUGGGUGUUUGUCCCGCCUUUUGCGCGUGGACUCGCCUUAAAGCGAUUGGCAGCCGGCAUAUUGUCUCGGAGCGCAGCACAUUUUGCGCUUCUUUGCAUACUUGUUGGCCCCCAGUAAGCCUUUUACAUUUGCUCUUGACCUCGGAUCAGGUAGGGAUACCCGCUGAACUUAA